rnacentral:rRNA from 1 species
UUCCGACCUGCACGAAUGGCGUAAUGAUGGCCAGGCUGUCUCCACCCGAGACUCAGUGAAAUUGAACUCGCUGUGAAGAUGCAGUGUACCCGCGGCAAGACGGAAAGACCCCGUGAACCUUUACUAUAGCUUGACACUGAACAUUGAGCCUUGAUGUGUAGGAUAGGUGGGAGGCUUUGAAGUGUGGACGCCAGUCUGCAUGGAGCCGACCUUGAAAUACCACCCUUUAAUGUUUGAUGUUCUAACGUGGACCCGUUACCCGGGUUGCGGACAGUGUCUGGUGGGUAGUUUGACUGGGGCGGUCUCCUCCUAAAGAGUAACGGAGGAGCACGAAGGUUGGCUAAUCCUGGUCGGACAUCAGGAGGUUAGUGCAAUGGCAUAAGCCAGCUUGACUGCGAGCGUGACGGCGCGAGCAGGUGCGAAAGCAGGUCAUAGUGAUCCGGUGGUUCUGAAUGGAAGGGCCAUCGCUCAACGGAUAAAAGGUACUCCGGGGAUAACAGGCUGAUACCGCCCAAGAGUUCAUAUCGACGGCGGUGUUUGGCACCUCGAUGUCGGCUCAUCACAUCCUGGGGCUGAAGUAGGUCCCAAGGGUAUGGCUGUUCGCCAUUUAAAGUGGUACGCGAGCUGGGUUUAGAACGUCGUGAGACAGUUCGGUCCCUAUCUGCCGUGGGCGCUGGAGAACUGAGGGGGGCUGCUCCUAGUACGAGAGGACCGGAGUGGACGCAUCACUGGUGUUCGGGUUGUCAUGCCAAUGGCACUGCCCGGUAGCUAAAUGCGGAAGAGAUAAGUGCUGAAAGCAUCUAAGCACGAAACUUGCCCCGA